GAUGAACGCUAGCGGCAGGCCUAACACAUGCAAGUCGAGGGAGAAGCCCUUUCGGGGGCAGAAACCGGCGCACGGGUGCGUAACUCGUAUGCAACCUACCUUUCACAGGGGGAUAGCCCGAAGAAAUUUGGAUUAAUACCCCAUAAUAUUGUUGGAUGGCAUCAUCUGGCAAUUAAAGCUACGACGGUGGAAGAUGGGCAUGCGUCCUAUUAGCUAGUUGGAGUGGUAACGGCACCCCAAGGCUACGAUAGGUAGGGGUCCUGAGAGGGAGAUCCCCCACACUGGUACUGAGACAGGGACCAGACUCCUACGGGAGGCAGCAGUGAGGAAUAUUGGUCAAUGGUCGGAAGACUGAACCAGCCAUGCCGCGUGCAGGAAGAAUGCCUUAUGGGUUGUAAACUGCUUUUAUAUGGGAAGAAACAAGGCGUAACGUGUACG
rnacentral:rRNA from 1 species